rnacentral:misc_RNA from 1 species
GGAAGGAUCAUUAUCGUGACAAAAGACGUGGGAGGUGCGCUCUGAAGGCUGUCGCUGACCCUUUCGGGGGUCGUGCACGCCGGAGGGGGUCCUCUCACGUGAAAUCCAUCUCACCCUUUUGUGCACCACCGCGUGGGUUCCCUCUUCGGAGGGGGCUCGCGUUUUCACACAAACCCCUUUGACGAAUGUGUAGUAUGACCUCACACUUUUUUUGCGAUGACACGCAAUCAAUACAACUUUCAACAACGGAUCUCUUGGCUCUCGCAUCGAUGAAGAACGCAGCGAAAUGCGAUACGUAAUGUGAAUUGCAGAAUUCAGUGAAUCAUCGAAUCUUUGAACGCACCUUGCGCCCCUUGGUAUUCCGAGGGGCACACCCGUUUGAGUGUCGUGAUAUCCUCAACCUCCUGGGCUUUUUUUUAUGGUCUAGGGGGCUUGGACUUUGGAGGCCUCUGCUGGACCGAAAGGGCUAGCUCCUCUCAAAUGAAUUAGCCGGGUCCCCUUUGCUGAACCUCGACGUGUGAUAAUACGCUUUCCACGCCUUGGCCUUUUGGCUCUGUCAUCUUCUGGGACCUGCUUCCAAUCGUCUCUCUGUGAGACAAUGUUCGAGCUUGCCUCGAUCACGCACCCUUGACCUCAAAUCGGGUGAGACUACCCGCUGAACUUAAGCAUAUCAAUAAGCGGAGGAAAAGAAACUAACAAGGAUUCCCCUAGUAACUGCGAGUGAAGCGGGAAAAGCUCAAAUUUAAAAUCUGGCGGCCUUUGGUCGUCCGAGUUGUAAUUUAGAGAAGCGUCUUCCGCGCCGGACCGUGCACAAGUCUCCUGGAAUGGAGCGUCGUAGAGGGUGAGAAUCCCGUCUUUGGCACGGAUGCCCGGUGCUUCUGUGAUGCGCUCUCGAAGAGUCGAGUUGUUUGGGAAUGCAGCUCCAAAUGGGUGGUGAACUCCAUCUAAAGCUAAAUAUUGGCGAGAGACCGAUAGCGAACAAGUACCGUGAGGGAAAGAUGAAAAGCACUUUGGAAAGAGAGUGAAACAGUACGUGAAAUUGUUGAAAGGGAAACGCUUGAAGUCAGUCGCGUCGACCGAGACUCAGCCUUGCCUCGGCUUGGUGUACUUCUUGGCACGACGGGUCAGCGUCAAUUUUGCCCCUCGGACGAUGGCAAGGGAAAGGUGGCACCCUUGCGGGUGUGUUAUAGUCCCCUGUCGCACGCGAGGGGUGGGAUUGAGGAACUCAGCGCGCGCCUCUGGCGUCGGGGCUUAGGCCCACGACACGCGCUUAGGACGCUGGCGUAAUGGCUUUAAACGACCCGUCUUGAAACACGGACCAAGGAGUCCAACACGCCCGCGAGUGUUCGGGUGGAAAACCCGUGCGCGAAAUGAAAGUGAAAGUUGGGACCUCUGUCGUGGAGGGCACCGACGCCCGGACCAGACCUUCUGUGACGGAUCUGCGGUAGAGCGUGCGUGUUGGGACCCGAAAGAUGGUGAACUAUGCCUGAAUAGGGUGAAGCCAGAGGAAACUCUGGUGGAGGCUCGUAGCGAUUCUGACGUGCAAAUCGAUCGUCAAAUUUGGGUAUAGGGGCGAAAGACUAAUCGAACCAUCUAGUAGCUGGUUCCUGC